rnacentral:rRNA from 1 species
UGGGGAAUAUUGGACAAUGGGCGCAAGCCUGAUCCAGCAAUACCGCGUGUGUGAAGAAGGCCUGAGGGUUGUAAAGCACUUUCAAUAGAGACGAAAAGCCUGGGGUUAAUAACUCCGGGUCUUGACUUAACCUAUAGAAGAAGCACCGGCUAACUCCGUGCCAGCAGCCGCGGUAAUACGGAGGGUGCAAGCGUUAAUCGGAAUUACUGGGCGUAAAGCGCUCGUAGGCGGUUUGUUAAGUCGGAUGUGAAAGCCCCGGGCUCAACCUGGGAACGGCAUUCGAUACUGGCAAACUAGAGUAUAGAAGAGGCAAGUGGAAUUCCAGGUGUAGCGGUGAAAUGCGUAGAUAUCUGGAGGAACAUCAGUGGCGAAGGCGACUUGCUGGUCUAAUACUGACGCUGAGGAGCGAAAGCGUGGGGAGCAAACGGGAUUAGAUACCCCGGUAGUCCACGCCGUAAACGAUGUCAACUAGCCGUUGGGGGUCUUAGUACCUUUAGUGGCGCAGCUAACGCAUUAAGUUGACCGCCUGGGGAGUACGGUCGCAAGACUAA